rnacentral:rRNA from 1 species
CCUACGGGUGGCAGCAGUGGGGAAUAUUGGGCAAUGGGCGCAAGCCUGACCCAGCAACGCCGCGUGAAGGAAGAAUGCCCUCGGGUUGUAAACUUCUUUUAUCAAGGACGAAAAAAAUGACGGUACUUGAUGAAGAAGCCACGGUUAACUACGUGCCAGCCGCCGCGGGAAUACGUAGGGGGCAAGCGUUAUACGGAUUUACUGGGUGUAAAGGGCGUCUAGGCGGGACUGCAAGUCAGAUGUGAAAACCAUGGGCGCAAACCCUGGCCUGCAUUUGAAACUGUGGUUCUUGAGUGUUGGAGAGGCAGGCGGAAUUCGGGGUGUAGCGGUGAAAUGCGUAGAUAUACGGAGGAACACCAGUGGCGAAGGCGGCCUGCCGGACAAUAACUGACGCUGAGGCGCGAAAGCGUGGGGAGCGAACAGGAUUAGAUACCCUUGUAGUC